AUUGGCGAAUCAAAACACUGCUUAUAUUCUUGAUAAUUCAAGGCAAUGGCCGCCUCCAUCAGAUGGUUUUACCGGUGGAAUUCGAUGCGUUUGAGGCCGAUUAUACACUUUCAUGCAGCAUUUUGCAGGAUUUUUUGUGUGGCAGCAGACCGAAGAUCGUGAUGAGUAGUUACUGCCGCGGGUUUUGCAUGCCAUCACAAUCCGUAUUGAAGUUAUUGCUCGCCAUACCUAUGUUGUCGGUGACAGCCAUGUGUCGACACCUCUCCACAUGUCUUGUCUGUUCAUGCCGCCGGCCCUCACCAUCUCUCCUGAAAGAAGGGAUGCGUCGUCAUCGUAUGAGAGAGGCCUACUGGACGAGAGUUUGCCAUCGAAGAAGAUAUCAUUCUUUACAGUCUGUUUGCAGACAAUUAAAGAUCGACCCUAACGAAGACAACAUGAACUGUUGGAGCAAAGGCGACCAUUCCAACUCCCUGCAGAUCACGUGCCUGCACCAAGGAUUGAUCGGGAUUGAGAGCAUCGAUACCACGUGGCAAACACCAGAUGUUGGGAGUCUGGGCAUCAAGGAUGUUGAAAUCGGUGAGAAGGUCACCCUACAGCUGGUUGCGCAAACAGAUCAUCCGGUUGGCCGACAUUCAUAGCAGGAUUGGAUGAUGUUCCUCGAUAUGGGUUCUGACGUUGAUGAAUCAAGUGCUUGAUGAGGUGAUGCAUUCAGCCUGAGAUCGUCUCUGCCCACAUCUGGUGGUGCCCGCCUGGCAGCUACCUAGAGACAUAGUGGCCAGGUAGCAAGCCCAAGGACAAGAUCAACAGUUAUUAUACGUCAGACGACCAUCUGCUCAGCAGAGGCCUCAUCUAUGCGGUCAUCUUUGAGGCGAGAAACUACUGAAAUGUUCAAAUACAAGAGGAAGAGGGCACCUUUCCACAAGCGCUUGCCAGACAGACCUUCAUCCUAAGUCACCACCAGACUUUCAACCUGGUUGUCAACUCUACCACAUGCCAUAGCAUCCAAGUAGCCUGGUACUUGCCUAGAGAAGAUGGACUCCAUGUCGAUUGACUCCAGUCUCUCAGACGCAUCGCAAUCUGCCGUUCUCGCAAUACCUGAUGUCAGAUGUGACAGAGUCAAAAGUGGAUGAGUUGUGCGAAUGCACAGAGAAUAGUCGGAAAUUCUGAUAGCCCAAAGGUGCUCAAACAAACUUAAAUUCCAAUACUGUUGAUCUGAGGCACCACGCUUUUGACGUUAGCCGUGGGGAAGUUGUGUGAAGUUUUAGCAUUGAACUGAUUAUAGAUUCAGUCGUGUGAUAUACAUUUCAAGGUCCCAUAGGGCAAAUUGCGUGUAUGCACUGAUAAGCUUGUUGAAUGUUGUAUUUUGUAUUUAUUUUACAUCAAUAAUAUGAGGCAAAAUUAUGAAUUGUUUUGA